CGUGACAAUGACCUGGGUAAUGAAAGUUAUUUAGUGUAAUGCUCAUUGAAGCAAUGCAGGAGGAGACUGGGGGCAGACUUUUCACGUUGAUGUCUGAGUGAAAGCUGCAGACCGUUUGUUCUGUGAUUCGGUCGGGUCCGUUCUUCAAGUUCGUUUCUAAGGAGGAGAGACGCCUCGCGCCAGGGCUCCGCCCCCUCCUCCUGAAUGCGCGAGCAGCUGCUUUCAAACCCAACUGCUCAAUCCCAUUCAUCCUCGAGAGGGAACAAAAAAGUGGCUAUUUAUUAGAAUACUUGUUUUGUAUUGUUCCGCGUCACACAAAAGGGGCUUUAUUAUUGUGUAGUGAGUGGUGGGACUGGGAGCUGGGUAUGGCUGGCCUUGGCACAUUAAGUGUAGAUUUUUAGCAGGGAUGGCGAACUGGCGAGUGGCUUUGUCUGGGUUAGGACAGCGAUAGAACGGCGCGCGCAAAACAAAGACUCUUAGAGGAGCGCGGCACUGAUGCAAAAUGAGAACUGACAAGGGGGUCUGUGUAAGGAUGAUUGUGAGAGACUCUGCUGGAAUUUGGCAGGCCCGAUGCUUGGAGAGGCGCCCCACGCUGUGACUCCCAUUCAGCGGUCCAGCGCGUUGUGAGGUUGGGAAGUUUCACUGAGCCGUGCACUCAAUGGCUCCACAAAGCUGAUUACAAGCCCCAGCGAAUUCCUGAAGGGACCGGGCAGCCACGCAGGUGUGCGGGAAACCGGGGCAACCCAUCACAGUAUUGUGACAGCGCCCGGAGACCACACAAAGCGCAAAAGCAUCCCGGGAAGCGGCCAGGCAUUCGGUGGGAAAUGAACACCUUCGAGGCCUUGCAUGUGCUCUCCCUUAAUUGUGAGCGAAAGAGAAGGGAGGAGAAACUUUCCGGUGGUCUAUUAAAAUGUUGCCCAAUCUCAUCAAGACUGUAAACUAAAUGCCAAAGACUAGGCUCGCGUAUUUAUGCAACGCCGUGAUAAUUUUUGCCAUAUGCAUCCUGAUUUUUCACAUCCUCUUGUGUCUCGUGUUAACGAUAUAAGAUUGGGGUUCGGGGUUAACGACGAUUCAUAAAACGCAAAGGCCCGCUCUCCCUCACUGUGCCCAAUUCAUUUUCCCUGGUGCGAAAAAUCUACAUCAAUGAAGCAGACAGCGUAUUUAAUUAGAGCGGAGUCUAACUAUCAAUUACUCAGGAAAAACACAGGAUCCCCAAGGACCGGUAAUCAGCGCGCCAACAGUCGGCCGAGCGCUCAUUACAGCAAAGCGACAGGCGGGAAUAAUCAGGGCGCGGCGACGCAUCUGCCUAUUUCCACGGCUUCCUGUUGCCUCUCUGAAGUUUAAUAACUCGUUCUUUGCAGUUUUGCAUCGCGACAUUUUUUCUUGGUGUCCAACGCGGCAUUUUUCAGUUAGAUAUGAACAUAAAAUAAUAAACAUGCCUACUGUGUUAUGCGCUCCUCCAACAUUUAGGCGCAAUUUGAACAAGGGCUCAGUUCUAUUUUACGCGGCUAAUUUAAUCCACCGCAGAGUCAACAAGGGCUAAUUGAGAUCAAUGGGGCGCAGAAACCCUUUCACAAUCAAUUUCUCCCGUGUCCUGGAUUGUCCCUUUAAGUCGUGGUGCUUGGCUUUUGGGACUUCGAAGUAAAAGUAACCAUAUUCCGGGAGUCUAUAGAUCAAGACUUUAAAUCCUGAAAUACACACAUGGCAAAGGUCUUUGAGAUGGCAUGAAACGUGUUUCAGUUCCCAUGCCUUGCCUAAUAAAUAUGCUAUAAAUCUAUUCCAGUCUUGGCCUCACCUGUGUCCUGUCACCCCUGCUGUCCUCGUGUGAUUAGGGCACAAAAGCACUUACCCGGCCCGGCUAUGGUAGUCAAUCAACCACAACGGACUAUGCUAAUUGAGGGGAAAGGCGAAAGGAAGACGAACAGUGAUCCCAAUUGUUCUGCGAAUUUCACAGCUCAGCGCAGCUGCAAUGCUACUGUUCUCCCAAUACACUCUCCCUUCACGUCUAACACAGCGCUACUGUAAGACCUAUGCGAACAGAAAAGGAAUUUUAAAUGUUCACAAAUUUCCCACAGAAGUUGAUGUUUUAGAUCAAUAGCUGUAAACUGUCGCACAGUUUUCCACUUGGGGGAUAAAAUGACGUUUCGUCGUUUCGCAAAAGUUUUUGAGGAGCUGUCCAGGUCCUGAAAUGCACGGGCAAUGUGGGCUCGUGCAGGAAUAACGAAAAUGUCCGUUUAUGUUCCCUGUAAGGCUAGUUUUAUCCUUUUCUCCCUUUCUCUGAUUCUUUAUUCUUAUAUUUCCAUGGAUGUACAUAAAGACAAUGUGGUCGAAUUUAAAACUGGACACAUUUUUUCAAUUGAUAUAUUAAGUGAUUUUGUAUAAUGUCUUUUAAAGAUUUAUACAAAUUAUAAUUAUGUUUUAGCAAGAAGGCAUAAUUUGUGCAUUUGAGUGAUUCAUUUCUUAUUUAUUUUCAUAGAUAUUUCAAUAAGCCCAGACAUAUAUUCAUGAUCAGCCAUUGUUUUCGUUGUUUGGCUGUCUCUUUUUAUCUGAGAUCGUUUACCACCAAAACAACUUGCAACACAUAUACAAAAAGAAUGGCAACUUUAACUGUAAAUUACUUUUUCCUCGCAUCUAGUUUGACCCAUCUCAGAAGGUGCCCUUCUUCUCAGCAGGGGUCAGAAAAUGGGCCUGAGAAUUGUUUGUGUUUUACCGUUGCUGGAGUCCCACUGUGCUUCUGUAUUUUGUGAUGGGAUAAACUUUAACUGUGUCUGAUUGUGUUGCUUUUACAUUUGAAAGAGGGAGAGAGAGAGACAGAAAAAACAACAAUAAAAGAAGUUGAUGUUUAUGGAUUGGUCAUUGAUUUUGUUGGUCUUGGUUGUAUGGGCCAUUUUUUUAAAAUAAAGACAGGCAAAGCUGUGGAAGCGUGUACAGGAGCGCAGUCGGGAGGUGGAUGAAGUCCGCGUGGACAGUCAGUGACAGUUGGAGUAGCUGCCCUGGGGAGUGCGUGACGGAUUGGGGGCAGCGGGGUUAUGGGUGAUAAUGACACACCCCACUGAGUGUUAUUACAUAAAGACUGUGUCGGGCUGAAAUAACAUUGUAAUAGAAUGGGGGCUUUUUGCCACGUUUUUCACAGCAUUGGCAACUCUCACUCAGUAACGUACUUCCCGCUUAUGUGUUCUCUUUUGUUUGGAUAGAAAUGCUUCUUUGCCCCUCCACACACACACAUAGACAUACUCUUUUUCUUUCUGUCUUUCCUGUUCUUACUCUCCUCUAUUCUUUACAGUGUUUGAUUAUGCAUUACAGAGACUUACUUUUAUGCAUGCAUAGGUUUCUGGCAGAACACGCAAAAAUUUGGUGCAUAAUUUUUUUGGUUCUUUCUCAGACACUGGAAAAGCUGAUGUGUGCCGUAUGAGCUUCAGUGCAUCGUUCUUGCUUACUGCAGAACACAUGGCCUGUCGGGCUCAGAGUAAAGCUCUAAUGAGAUCUCUGAGCUCAUAUCUUAUUUUUUUAAUCAAAACCUAUUCCAUUAGUUUUGAAAUGUAGGGCUUCAAGGUUACACGGUGUGGUGGUGUUGUAUAUGUAUAUAUUUAGAGCCGGGAAAAAAACAAGAGGCCAUUGCAAAUUUCCAUUUAAGCAGCAUUUCUAGAUGUAUUGUGGUCAUUCCAGUCCAGUGUCUGUUGAAUUUCAACAAAAUCAAACCAACAGCAAUGUGAAAGACUGACAGCAUAACAAGACACAUGAAAAGUAAACUGUAAUAAAAAUUGAGGUAUCACAUACAAAUAAUAUUUUUUAACUUUCCCUAAACACAUACAAAUGAAGAGUUUGGUUACAAAAUGAGAUAACGUUUUUAAAAAAUGUCAAAAAUCAUGUUUUUUAUUUUGUUAUCAUGUUUUUUUGUGUGUUUUAUUGUGUUAGUUAGCUGUAUUUUUGGAGUUAUUAUGGCUUUAAUCAAAACAAACCAAUUGCAGUUUGAUUCAUAUUAAUUGGAAUGCACAAUAAAAAACAUGAUUUUUGAAAAGUUAUCUCAUUUUGGAACCAAACUCUUCAAAUAUUAUUGUUGUAUUGCUUAAAAGUGAAUAUGAACUUGUGUUCAGUGCAGUAUUUGAGGUCUGUUGCACGGUUUCUGUUAUUUGGACCUGUUUCAUUUUCUGCAAAUAAAAACAAUAUUUUUAUUAGAAAUUUGCGAGAAAUAUUUAGUUCACAGAAUGAAACGAUCAUUUUACUUAAACACAUACCAAUAUACAGUACAUUUUAUCAUCAGAAAAACUGAUUUUAUAGACUCUUAAUUUAUAUAGUCUUCGUGCAAAAGUUUUAGGCGUAAGUGUUUUCACCCCCAAAAAAUGGUUUUAUGCCAGUUAUAUCUUUUUGAAAUAUCACUUUACAUCUCCAAAUCUUCCUUUUCCCAUUAUUUGUAAUAAUCUAGUUAGAUUUUUCUAUGCACAGAGUCUGUCAACAGCCAGUGUGCCAGUAUCACCAUCAUCGAGUCUGUUAUUAUUACGAACAACAUCUUGUGGUGCCAUCCCAAAAAGGUAAAAAAUCGCUCUCUCGUACCUUCUCUGGAUUGGUUCCACAUCUGUGGAAUGAUCUGCCCGCUGCUACAAGAUCAGCAGAUUCUGUGGACAUCUUUAAGAAUCGGUUGAAAACACAUCUUUUCCGUCAGCAUCAGUUCUGACUUCUAUCUCUUUUCUACUCUUUCUAAAAAAAAAAAAACUUAGCUCUGUGUACUGUGGUAGGCUAUAUGAAACCAGUUUUAUUGUACUUAUGCUUUUUGUUGUCCUUAUGUUGUUCCAAUUGCUUCCAUAGUUUACCUCAUUUGUAAGUCGAUUUGGAUAAAAGCGUCUGCUAAAUGACUAAAUGUAUAUGUAAUGUAAAUGUAUUACACGAAGAAAGACAAAAAACUGAGACAGACUAAAUCCAGAAGAACUUUGGCAAUGUCUCCAAGACACUUGAAGAAACCAACCUGCAAAGCUUUCUGAUAAACUAUACACAAGUGUACCUGGGACAAAAGCUUAUUUAAACACAAAGGGUCGUCACAGUAAAUAUUUGAUUUUGAUAAAUAAAAUUGAUUUAUGACAUUAUUUCUGAAAGCAUUCCCACUUUACAGAAUUUAAAGAGUACAUAACUAGGGAUUUUUAAGGUCCUACUUUGGUUCAUGGAGUGUCCAACAACAAGUUUAUGUACAUAGAAAGUGUAAAAAUGCUAUUAUUUCUUAAUAAUAGGUGGUUAUUCUUACCUUACUUCUUGACUGACUCUCAAAUGAUUCGUUCCGUGAUUCGUCUGUCUAAUCCCCUCCUUUCCGCUAGCCUAGUCUGAUGUGAUUGGUCAGAUGGUAUAGUCUGCUGUGAUUGGUCUACCGCGAAUGAAGCUCACGAGCUACAGUGUUUGGGGGAGAAGAGUGACGUUUUCGCGGGCAGUCAUAGCAAAACGUAGGCGGGGACUAUAGUAGUGACGUAAAUCCGCGGCGGUUCGUGAAUCAGACUAGGGCAUGACUCGUUUGCGUGAUUCAGAGUCGACUCCCUUUUUUCUAAGACAACAACUUUGUUAUUCAUUCACCUUCGGAUUUACAACUUGGCAGACUGCUUACUUUCAAACAUUAUACACAGCAUGAAAUGUGAUUUUCAUGAUCUCAUGUUAUGUACUCUUUAACACAAGUGCCUAAAACUUUUCACAAUACUGCUUUGCAGGUACAAUAGGUUAAGCAUCUCGGAGACAUUGACAGUUUUUCUGGAACUCAGUUCUCUGCUUUCCUGAUUUUGCCAAGUGAGAGAUGUCCUUGGGUCAACACCACGUUGACCCUGGAACAACAUUGUAAAGAACAUCAUCAGAUUUGAGGGAUUCGUUUACAAUUCAUGUUAAGGGAUAAUUAAGUACGUUGCCCCAAGUUCAUCUCUCACAUGGCAAAAUCAGUUCGAGCCAUGGUUCUCAGUACUUCUCCCUCCUCAUGUACUGCAUAUGUUUGUGUGUCUUUAAAUGGAUUUGUGGUUAGCCUGUGGUCUGCAAGGUUGCACUCAAAUUGAGAAUAAUACGCUGCUUUCUCUCUGUAAUCUUAUGUAUGGAAGUACACCCUGUGUUCAUAUACAACGGAUUUUUAGACCUGCGGUUAUUUACCUCUUGUACUUGAAAAUGCAUUUAGAAAGAACUCAGACUGAAGGCAAUGCCAGCCUGUCUGUGUGUAUUUGAUUUAUUUAGCUACGAAACAUUUCUGCACAUUUAUCUGUAAGGAAAUAUCAACCUUGUCACCUAAAACUUUCCUGUCUCAAAAUUUCUCAAGAUGAAUCAUUUAUUAAAAAUAGUGUGUACACUGGUCACCCUAUAUUAACAGUGACACUGAACAAUAUGAAGUUCACCAGGGAAUUCAAGCUGUUUUUAGACCAAAAGUAAAUAAUGACAAUUGCAACAGCAGAUGUUUUCUUCAAAUUAUUUUGGAACAGACAUUACCAAUUUACCCUUUCAGUCUUUCCUCACCUGCACCGUUUACUUAAAACCAUAGUGCCUGAGAAAUGAUUAAACUCACCUCAUCUUGACUUAUUUGCCAUACCCCUUCACACCAGUAUCAUACACGCACUAUGGCCAAACUCUUAGUGAGUGUAAGAGCGGCAUAUUAUGGACCAUUACUAUGAUUCAUGCACUUGCUGGUCUCUCAUUCAGUGAGCUCCUUAUGAGUAUGUUUAUUACCCUGAUCCUGCGUCACUAAUGCAUCUGGAGCAAAAAUGAGAGUAAUGCAGUUUGUGUGAAGUGUGACCUUCGAUAAACACAAUGAUGACUUUAUGGCCGAUGGACUUAAUACACUGAGAAGUGCAUCUGUUUCAAACUGGUAUCUCUGCUUUGGUUUUGCUGUUACUAAUGUGGCAGAAUUUCUCUGCAGAGCUGUGGAAAAGCUAUUAUUUAGGCGCAGAGCCAAUACCUGAGACAGCUGCCAAAAAAGCCAAUCCUUUUAGAGUGUUGGGCGAGAAAUCAUUUAGUGUGCGUGAUACAAACAAAACCCCACAAAAAAAUCCAUUGGCAUUUCUCUCUUUCAAUCAAGAGGACAGGCAAACGUAGACGCGCGUUUGGUUCGGCGAUAUGCUGGCAGGUGAUUGUUUUAUGUAGAGGAGAUUAGGUUAAUGAGGGGUCAGGGGGUGACUGUAAGAAACAACGACUCGAUUUCCUCUGGAUGUCACUGAUAGCUCCUUCUUCUGUUGACCUUUGACACCCCUUACAGUGAGUGAGCAACAGACACAGCCAUUUAGAUGGGCUAGAUUACAACAUCAAUGUGAAAGACCAGAUCCGUUCUACCAGGAUAACUAAAUUACAAGCAAAAUUGUAGCUAAAGAGAGCCCGUUUGUAACAAUGACCUAUAGAUACUGACACAAUUGAGAAAAAUAUGGGAAUCCAGUUACUGCUGGUCAGUUUGGUCAGAAAAUGAUCACCUCACCUUUUACAGCUUUUUGACUUUAUACUUUAAUAGUACACUGUAAAAAAAUCCCAUAAUUAGUAAUUUUCUGGCAGCUGGGGCAACAGUAAAAUAUGGUAACAGUAAUAACAGUUUUUAUGUUAAAAAAGACCAAAAUUAACAUUUGACACAACAUUUGUAAAAAUAAUUGAUGUUCAAUCACCAUUUCAAAGGUUGUUUGUGAAAUUAGAGCUGUCGAGAGAGAACAACGCAAAUUCAAAUUAUUCGCGUGUCACAUGAUUCAUGGAGCCUUCAGAUAGUUCCGGGAAGUUAUGUUUUGUCUUUGAAUUCUUUAUUUCAUUUUUUAUUAAUUAAACGUCUUUAAAUGGGUUAAAAGUUCACCUCAGUCUGUCUGUUUUACUGCAGCUCCAUGCGCAACUUCUGGGAACUAUUGAGAGGCUUUAUGAACCGCCAUUUCUGUGAAAAAACAGUUCACUUGGAGUCUACGGAGUUGACGCGACUCUCGCUCUCAAUGGCUCUGGGUGAAACAUGGUGAAACGGGUGAAUUGACAAAUCAGCUGGUCCUAAAGAAAGAUUACAUUGCUCACAGGUUGCUCUUUCGUGUCUUUAGAUUUAGAGUUCUCAGUUAUAUUUCAUUCUCAGUUAUGUUGCUUAAGAGAAGUCAAAAUAGAUACAAAGGAUUUGUUGAGCUACAUUAAGUAGCAGUGAUGUAAAUUGUAGAGAUAAUCAAAUCUGGUUUAGAGUCAUUUUGAUGAGAAAUGUUUAAAGCUGUAUUGAGCACAAUAUAUUGAAAUCUAAAACUUUGCUGUAAUUUUGCAGCAGUUUUGCCAGUAACUUACUGUAGAUUUGAUUACUACUUAAUAUUUUUCAAUUAGUACUGUUUUUAAUUUGAGUUAAACUUUACUUUAAUCAGAAUAAAAAGACUUUGACUUUUGAUAUUCCAAUUGAGCAAGAAGAGACUGGUCUCAAUACUGGCAUUACACUGCAAAAAAUGACAUUCUUCCUGAGCAUUUUUGUUUUGUUUUCUAGUAAAAAUAUUUAAAACUUCAUAAAUUACGAUACAUUUACAUAACAAGACAAGUAACUCAAGAUAUUUAGUCUAUUUAGUAAAUAUAAGAACUAGGUAACUUUAUGUUUAGAAGAAAAUAGUAAAUUAAAUCUACAGUAAGUUACUGGAAAACCUGCUGCAAAACUACAGCAAAGUUUUACAGUGUAGGAAACUCCAUUGGAGACCUACAGAAUGUUCGAUUUCUGGGUCUUUUUCUCUAGAAAAAUAUCUGACACGCCGGAGGCUUGAAGCGAAAUGUAUAAAUUAAUACAAAUGUUUAAAACCUUUAUAUUAGACUAUUCUCUGUUUUAUCUAUUCUCCCCACCUCCUAGACUUUGAAGAUACAGCUGCAGGGACUUUCUGGCACUUGAUAAACUUUCCCCAACAUUAGACCGCUUCAUGAGAAAACCUUGAGCGUGCAGUUAUAUUAACAUUUCCAUAGACAUUCCAUUCCAAUACUCCAGUAACCUAACUUGAAUGGCACACACAAAUAAACCUGCCACAGCAGCAGAAUCAUUCAGUUUAUACAUAAACAUAAUAAACUACACGUGUGCUUCUUAAGUUUCCGAGUGUCACAACCCUGACCUUCCGUUCUAAAGGUGAAUCAAAGAAGGUUUGACUGUGAGCAUGAAUGCAUGAGACCGAGCUGCGAUCGUGUCAUGUUCGUACAAGUUUUCGAAGUCUUCUGGCUCCCGCGCGAGUUGAAAAGAGUAGAUCAAUUUCUAAUAAACUUCUUCAAUAGGCCAAUUUUGCCUUUCAGUGGCUGCUUUGAAAGGCUCCAGUUAGUAUUUAAAGAAAGAGAUGGAGACUGAAGGAUGAUUACAGAGGACUACAGUACUGCCACUGAAGGUCAUCACUCAAGGAUAAUGAGCGCUGUAUUGAAACUACACCUGUUCCCACCAUCCCUUUCCCCAGCCCAUCUACAUGAGUGAAAGUUCACUAAAUCGUAUUGAUCUCAAAACAGCACGACCGAUUGAUGGUUACAUUUCAGGCCAUGAAAAAUCCUACGUGCUUUCAAAGCGAUGAAAAAAUAUUUAGGUGAAGAAAAAUUAGGCGUUUAAGGGGCAUUUGAUCACAUUAAAAUCCCUCGUCUUAGCAUCUUUACUUCAGUACGCGGGGUCCUUUUUGAGAGCCAAUUGAUUUCUUCAUGUUACCAACAUCAUAAACUGUUAGAUAAAUCUAUUUCAGAGAAUUGAGUUAAAAGAGACAGCGUUUUGGGAUUGAAACAUGUAUACUAAAUAUUUUUCUAAGUAUAAAACAGCAGUAGUGGAGGGAGCUGAAUUUAGAGGCAAUCUUUCACAUCACUGAGCUCAUGUUAUGUAUUUUUUUGUGCUUUGCCGUGACUGACAGUUAUGAUUGCAAUUGCAAAGAUUUCUUUAGAACUACUUGAAGCAAAAGCACCUGUACAAUAAUAAGAUUGUACGAUUUCGCUCAUUCUAAUCCAGCCCCACUUUUACAAUAAGAGACAGAAAGAUAGAUAGAAAGCAGACAUCACAAUUCAAAACAAAUCUUUUCACAGACACGGCGGUUUGACACUUCUGGUCAAUUAUUGCUAUUGAAACAUCUUAUUUCCCCCGGCCUUCUGUAUUUCCCUUAUUUAUUUUAAGUAAUCUCAGGUGAACAAUGGUAAUGGGAUUAGAGGCGGCGCUACUGAACCCAGCGUGGCCCCUCCACCAGCUCACUCAAGAGAAACACACAGUUAUCACACAACAGCAGAUUGUUUUGAACUACUUAGGAAAAAACCGAGCAUCUGAAGACACAGGCGCUCUUGCCAGCGUGAGCUGGUGUUAAGUGCAUGGUUGUUCCCGUCGUUUUAUUUAGCAUCUGCAGAAUUCCCAGCAUAGUUAAGGUGCUUUGGAAAAGGAUUAACUGUUGCUGGCACCGGCGAACAAGCCUCGCAGAUUUUCCCCUAGCAAGAAAAUACAAAGAAGAGGAGGAACGGGGAGAGGGAAAAGAGUGAGAAAAGGCAAAGGGAAGCCACAAUAACAAGUUGUAUAAACACAACCUGAGACUGAGACACGGGUAAAAGUAUAUCUAAACAACAAUUAUCCCUGAAGGAGGGAAAGGAGGUGGCUUUCACUUGCCUACUCGCAGUGUCCCAUUACAUCAGAUGCUUCAGUUCCGACGCUGCCUUGUUCUCUCAUUCGUGCUCUCAACCUCUCUCUCACCUUCUCAUCUCAUCGCUAGAUUUUCCUUCAUCAUCUUCUACCCCCAACAUUUGGGUCCUGCUCUGGGUCCUAUCUCAUCAACUCAAAAAAGAAACAUACCCCAUAAAGAAAUGCUGGUAACACUUUACAAUAAGGGCAUUAAAGGGAUAGUUCACCCAAAAAUGAAAAUUCUGUCAUCGUUUACUCACCCUUUUGCCAUUUCAAACCUGUAUGACUUUCUUUCUUCGACAGAACACAAAAUAUAUUUUGAAGAAAGUUGGUAUCCGAAAAGUGUCAGCACCCAUUCACUUCUAUUGUAUGGACACAAAACCAAUGCAAGUAAAUGGGGCCAGUUAACAACAUUCUUCAAAAUAUCUUCUUUUGUGUUCUGCGGAAGAAAGAAAGUCAUACAGG